ensembl:misc_RNA 7SK 7SK RNA
GGAUGUGAAGGCGAUCUGGCUGUGACAUCUGUCACCCCAUUGAUCGCCAGGGUUGAUUCGGCUGAUCUGGCUGGCUAGGCGGGUGUCCCCUUCCUCCCUCACCGCUCCAUGUGUGUCCCUCCCGAAGCUGUCCGCUCGGUCGAAGAAGACAGCCUUCACCGAAUACAGACUGGUGUUUGGUCAAGGGUAUACAAGUAGCUGCACUCCCCUGCUAUAACCUCCAAACAAGCUCUCAAGGAAAAGAAAAGAUGAUCACCUGAGAACACAACAAUAUAAGACUAGGAUUACUUUGGGAACUCACCAAGUC